CCUCAACGCCCUGGCCCGCCCGUGGCUGUCUUGUUUUGUACCUUCGUUUUCAAAGCCGAAUCGCCCGCGCUUUGAGCCAUUUCCAAACCCAAGAGCCAGCAGGACCCAGAGAGCAGGGCCAGAGGGCAGCUUUCAGAAAAGAAAUGAAACUCCAUGGAAGUUCGCGUCCUGGGUUGAUUCCUGCAGGCUCCUAUCCUGCAAAAAUCCUAGCCCCAUUGGAAUCAAUGGCUUCCGUGGGGUUCAUAGCUCACCCUUGGUGCUUAACUUUACGCAGGUGAGUCCUUCAUUCAAUAGAACUGAGCAUUACGCAUGGGCCUGCCAUUGCUCCAGGAUCGGACCCUCAUCCGCUACACGUGUGCAGCUGUAAAUGUGUAUAUAACUGGGCCUCAGUGUUCCCUGUAAGCUGCGCGCUUGGAUGGCCACCCAGGAGAGAUUUAGAUGCCACCCAGCUGUUUAGCAGAGUGCCCAUAGCUGUCAGGAGUUUCUAGUAGUGGUGCACGUCUGUAGAUGCCACAAAAUUUAUUCUGCACAUUGAAGGAAAAAAUUAGAGGACAUACUGGUGGGCAUAUAAAUUAACCUCCUGUUAGCCCCUGUGAUCUCAGUGUUGUUGAGGCCAAGUGCCUGGAUUUCACGUGGUUCCAGGGAUUUAGGGAGAAAACCCGAUGCCAGAUCCCAGGAAAAGUUGGCAAGGUUUGGCUCUGGAAAGGCAGUUAGCAAGGCCUCCUGCUCCCUCUUCGCUUUCUGUCCUUGUCCCCUUCCAUCCUGCCCGUCUCAGUGGGGUUCAAAGCCAGGAGUGGGAGGCAGCCGUGCAGGUGCCGGCCUGGCACCCACGCCAGCGGCGGCGAUGUGUGCAGCCACGUCUAAACCCAGACUCAAGUUUCAGCGGUUCCCCCCCACUUCCCCAUCCGCUCCAUGUUGCGGAAGUGUCUCUUGGAGCAGACAGCCUGAGUUCAGACACCGGCAUGAGUAAUGCAUAAAGAGCGCCUGAGUCACCCAAAGCAGACGGCUCACAUUCCGGAGAAGCCAGGAAAAGCCAGCAAGCGCCGUUGCUCGCUGCUAGGCCAGGAGCUUGUACUCCUGCGGGCGGUGAGUGAUGCAGGCAAGGGAAGGCGUUUCCUUCCCAAAAUUGCUCAGCCGCCCGGGAGGGGUUGAGGCUGCACCGCGUGGCAGGCUGGGGCCAUGGCAUGGCAGCCCCUGCCCUCCACUGGAGUUGGGCAGAGCUUGGCUGCCGAGGGGCGUGGUCUGGGGAAAGGGGUGUGGCUUUGGGCAGAAGGGGCGGGGCUUCCUCAGCACCCCCGUGGACGAGCCACCCCUGCACCACGGUCUUAUAGUGGGACGGCGUGGCGUGAACCUCCCCACCCAAUUGGGUUUGAACACUGCCAGUCCCUAUUUCCCGGGCCAGUGCGCAAGAACUGGGUUCUGAUGGCUGGAGGGGUUUUUUUUUUUAAAUAAACUACUGAUUUUAAA